CGAGCUGUUUAUAUGAUGGUGAAGACGGGAGAUUCAGAGACAGACUGAAGGUGGACUAUGAGACUGGAUCUCUGAUCAUCACAAACAUCACAACUGAACACACUGGACGUUAUGAAGCAGAGUAUGACGAAGAAAACAAGCCAAACAAAAGAAAAAUAUUGAACAGACCGGUCAGCGAAAAACGGUGUGAGAAAGCAAAAGACACCAAAAAAGGCGACCUUGGCAAAAUAAUCAAAUCAUUCAGUCUGAAAGUCAGUGAUGUUUCAGAUUCAGGUCUGUCUCCAGCUGCUGUAGCAGGAAUAUUUGUUGCAUUUCUGCUGCUGGCUGCAGCUGUUGGUGUUGGUGUGAUUGGUGUGAUUUACUAUCGCCACCGCACCUUCAAAAAUGACCAGAAGAAAUUCAAACAAGUGCUGGAACAAGUGUCUGAGGAUGAGAAGCAGAAUGAAGAAAAGCUCAUGAUCUGAGAAGAAUGCAACUGCUUGCUCUAAAAAAAAUGCAGUAGGAAAAUAGUAUUUGGUUUGAGCUGAAAUAUGGAAGUGCUUUGCAGACCUCUCAUUAAUGAUUAAGUGCUUUUUGUGUCCUGUUAUGGAAAUAUUAAAACAGCUGUUACUGGAAGCAUAUAUAUUAUUAACAGUGUGAAGCUCACACUCAUAUUGUCUUUCUUGGUAAUUUGUAAUUUUGGAAUUAAAAUGUCCUGUAAUUGUCAAAGAAAUUUUUCCUUCAAGGACAUUUUAACUUUAUUGUAAACAUGCAUAGUACAAGCUACAUUUAAACUUUGGCUUAUUAUCUGAUAUUUGCAGCUUAUAAACCUGCAGUAUAUGUAAUAUUUCAACACAUGCUUUUAUCCAAAACGACAAAAUAGAACUUCUGCAGCUUGUUAUAGUUAACGUGAUAAUUCUGUUUUUUGUUUGUUACUUGUAAAAAAUGCUU